UCUGGCCCUGCCGGUGUCUCCGCCGGUUGAAAGCGCGUGUCUGCGUCGGGUUCCGUUGGAGUGCGUUCGGUGCGCCGCCGUGGGUCCGCGCUGCUUCCACCCAACUUCCUGUGAGGUAAGAGGCGCGUGAGGCUCCUGUGCCGGGGGCGGUGCUGCUCCCGAGUCGGCGCGCGGCGGGGACGCGAGUCGAGUUUCUCUCCUGUCACAAUGGCAUGAUCUCGGCUCACUGCGACCUCUGCUUCCUGGGUUCAAGGAUUCUCCUGCCUCAGCCUCCCAAGUAGCUGGGAUUACAGGAAUCUCACCAGUGACACGCGUUUGUGAAAAGCUGUGAAUAUUCAGUGCCACAGGGUUAAACCUCGGUACAGAAGCGAGACCCUGCUGGGCAGAGAAAGGGUGACCUGGAAGGUGUGUGAGGGCCCCGCCCAUGGGCCCCUGUGAUGGUCAUGGCCUCAAGAAUCACAGUCCAGGUGAGGCCCUGAAUCUCCACAGCCAGGACCAGUUCCCUCUGCUCUUGGGUGCCGAGGCCAGCGUCAGCCAGGAGAGGCCUGCAGAAUCAGCCUGUGCACCUCUCUGACGAUAAGCAGAGAUGCCGGUUUAGAGACGUGCUACUCACGGGGCAGUCCUCGGGCCUCCUGUACUCACAUUACCUGGAACUUCUUGGAAAUUCAGAAUCUCAGGCCCCAACCCGGACGGACUGAAUCAAAAUUUUCAUUGUGGUAAGACCCUUGGUGACACACAGGCCUGGGAAGCACAGGUUAGCGUGUCACCUUGGGCAAAGCUCUCAGCAUCGUGAGCCUCUGUUUUCUACUCUGUAAAGGAGGCAUCAAUAUCUACAUCAUCAGUUUGCCAUGAGUAUUGAAAAAUAAUGUCUUAGAAGCACAGGGCAGAGCCUGGCAUGUAGUUUGUGCUCAGUGCACAGCAGACAAGAAACCACAUGCACCAAACCCGGGCGGCCGUCGGCAGCCCACGCUGAGCAACCAUGGGUGGCCCUCUUGUCUCUCGGGACAAGAAAUGCUUCUUUAGAAAUGCUUCUUUCGUUUCUAAAAUGAAAGUUUUGGACAGUAUUUCCUUUCACUUAAAAAUUUCAUCUGUGUAUUUGAUGGCCUCUGUCGUUUCUUUCUUGAAACUCCUGCUAACAUACUGGGAGCUGAAGAAUGGCUCCGUGAAGGCGAGUAGGGGUGCCUGUCCCUCCCAGGGAGGAGCUUCCCUCCUCUCACCUGCUGCACGAGCCCUAGUGCUUCACCAACUCCAGCCUCAGUGCCCUGACACUGGGGGAGGGAAAGGAAGCGCACGUACCAGCCGUUCCACCCACCGAAGUUGUUUGGUCCCAAUCUGCAAAAUCAGUUAAACGUCUUCCGGCCUGGCAGCAGAUCAAAGGGUGAGGGGUCUGGGACAGACAGAGAUGGCUAGAGAAUGGAUGGUGAAGUGCUCAGAGGCCCUGUGGGCUAUCCCACACUCGGCGGAAGACAGCAACACCAUCAAAUCUCCACCCUUUGUUAUCCAUGACUUAAAGAAAAGUGAACAGGGAAGUGGACAACUGUGCAAAGACUGGCUGGAGUCAAAUCCUGGGCAUAGGUGAAGCAUCGAGAAUGCUUGUCACACGUUUGAAUGUGCAGGGGGACUCUGACUGGAAGCUCCUAGCAGAGGCUGAAGACACUGGUUAGGUCCUGGUGCGUGCCUUGGGAUGCAUCCCAGGCAACGGGCCCAGGAGCUUGAGGUCAUGUCCACCUGGCUCACCAGGGAGUCCUGCACCAUUCUUCAAACCUAAUUGGAAGAGACACUGAUCCUUCCUCCCACCUAAGGGCUCCCAGAGCCACAGGUCUCCGCCUCUCCUGCAACACCUCCUGCUGCCUGUUCCCACCGCCCAUGAUUCACUCAGUCACCAUCCUCAGCAGCACCCGACAGCCUCUGUGUGUCUGUGUCACUCACCAUUACCAGCCCCCUGGGUGCCCAAUGCAUGUAUGUUAGACAGAACAAAUGCACGGCGGCCUUCAGCAGCACUGACCACUUCGACCCCUCUCUGUGCUCACACCAGGAGUGAUCAGCGCACACGCCCUCCCACAGGAUGGGAGAAGGUGAUAACACAGCUGAGCUGGGUGUCCAGAAGCCAGCCCCACCCCACAGCCACUACUGAGAGGUUAUGAGAUCAAGGCCUUAUCCCGAGUAAUGCUGCUGCAGUGAACUGGGACUUUUUUCCUCUGAAUUCAAAGGUGGGGCAGUCUAGGCACCCGGAUGCACCAUCUGCUCUGUCCCGGCCUGGUGGCUGCUCACUGUGGGAUGCUGUGCGAUUAGACAGUUACUAUCUUUCCCUGGUUGACGGAUUAGAGUUUCGCUUUUCUGAGCAUCUUGUUUUGAAGUGAUCCGAAGUGUUUAGGGUUAAAGAGCGUGAUUUGCCCAAACUGUCCAAAAAAAUAGAAGCAGGUCUGCAAGAGGGGGGUGCCCAGAGCCUUGAGAUGGAAGCGAGAUGGGGUGAUACCUGGGGAGCUCUCCAGGCCGCCGGGAAGCUGCACGUCAUCCUCUGGACCUCUUUGCUGACUGUGUGCUGUCACCACAGCAGCCGCCUUCUCUCAUCUGUAAACAGGAUUUUACGUAAAUUUCCAUACACUUGGUUGUUGACAAUUAAGUAGAUUGUUUUUAAAGAUACUUGAAAUGAUAUCAGAAUUUCCUAAAUAUAUCAUUAAAACAGGAAACUUAGUUACCUA